GACGUAGGGCGCGAGCGUUGUCCGGAUUUAUUGGGCGUAAAGAGCUCGUAGGCGGCUUGUUGCGUCGGCUGUGAAAUCCCGUGGCUUAACUGCGGGCUUGCAGCCGAUACGGGCGGGCUAGAGUUCGGUAGGGGAGACUGGAAUUCCUGGUGUAGCGGUGAAAUGCGCAGAUAUCAGGAAGAACACCCGUGGCUAAGGCGGCUCUCUAGUACGGUACUGACGCUGAGACGCGAAAGCGUGGGGAGCGAACAGG
rnacentral:rRNA from 1 species